rnacentral:rRNA from 1 species
UACGAAGGGUGCAAGCGUUGCUCGGAAUUAUUGGGCGUAAAGGGUUGGUAGGUGGUCUUGUUUGUCUAAGGUGAAAUCCCAUGGCUUAACUGUGGAAGUGCCUUAGAAACGGCAAGACUAGAGUCCUAGAGGGGUUUGUGGAAUUCCCGGUGUAGCGGUGAAAUGCGUAGAGAUCGGGAGGAACACCAGCGGCGAAGGCGAGUCCCUGGACAACUCCUGACACUGAGGCACGAAAGCUAGGGGAGCAAACAGG